CGAAAGCCUGACGCAGCAACGCCGCGUGGACGAUGAAGGCCUUCGGGUCGUAAAGUCCUGUCAGAGGGGAAAAACCGGCCGGGUAGGAAAUGACCAGGCCCUGAUGGUACCCUCAAAGGAAGCACCGGCUAACUCCGUGCCAGCAGCCGCGGUAAUACGGGGGGUGCUAGCGUUGUUCGGAAUCACUGGGCGUAAAGCGCGUGUAGGCGGGUGGCUAAGUUAGAUGUGAAAUCCCACGGCUUAACCGUGGACGCGCAUUUAAAACUGGCCGCCUGGAGUGCGGAAGAGGGAAGGGAAUUCCCGGUGUAGAGGUGAAAUUCGUAGAUAUCGGGAGGAAUACCAGUGGCGAAGGCGCCUUCCUGGGACGACACUGACGCUGAGACGCGAAAGCGUGGGGAGCAAACAGGAUUAGAUACCCUGGUAGUCCACGCUGUAAACGAUGAGCACUAGGUGUUGUGGGUAUCGACCCCCGCAGUGCCGCAGCUAACGCAUUAAGUGCUCCGCCUGGGGAGUACGGUCGCAAGAUUA
rnacentral:rRNA from 1 species